AAAAUCUCUCUGGGUUGAAUUUGCUCGCAUCAUUUCCCCAAAUAUCUGGAUCAUGUUGAAUGAAGAUAGUGGGCAAUAAAAGGUCCACUCCUGCUGGAUAUUUGAUGCCCCCGAGCUCAACUUCCUUGUAUGUUCUUCGGAUGGCUCAAGCUACCAAAAUCUGGCGCGGUUCUUCCCAGGUUAACUCUAAUGCAAUGUGUUAGCUUGGCUUUCGGCCCGCCAAAAGAAUUGGGCAGCUGCUGCUGCGGACCUGCACUGGGUGCAAACGUGUCCGGGUAGAAGAAGCAACGGCUUUCAAGAGCAGUAGCAGCAGCAGUUUGGAGAGAAGGAUAAAUUAGUAGGUGAGCAAAACACUCUGCUGGAAGUGGAUGUAUGGUCGAUCGAGUUUAUUGGGAAGAUCGAUUUUAUGCUUUCUGAAAUCCUUGGGUACACAGGCUGGGGAAGAUGUUGUUUUCCAUUAUCUAAAAGUAUAGUUUACUUUAUGUUUUUACCGCAAAAAAAAAGUAUAGUUUACUGAAUUUAGUAUAUAAAAGGCCGCAUAGGCGGUUGCUCGAUACCCGUUUCUUAUGCAAAAAA